rnacentral:rRNA from 1 species
CAAAAACAUAACUAUAUGUUACAUAUAUAGCAAUUUCUGCUCCAUGAGAUAAAACUUAAAUAGCCGCAGUACUUUGACUGUGCAAAGGUAGCAUAAUCAAUUGUCUUAUAAUUUAAGUCUAGAAUGAAGGAAAAAAUGAAAGGUUCCUGUCUACUUACGAAGGGAUAGAAGUUACUAAUCAAGUGAAAAUUCUUGAGUAUAUAUAUUAGACGAGAAGACCCUGGAAAUUUGUUGUAAAUGACUCAUAUAAGCAUUUUGUUGGGGCGACAAAGUAACAGUUGAAACUUACUUUAAAUGGAUAUGAUAUUUAUAUAGCGUAUAAAGAAAUUACUCCAGGGAUAACAGCAUAAUAUCUUUGAAGUUUAUGACCUCGAUGUUGGACUAGGAUAGUUAAUUAUCUAGAAGAUAACUAAUUACGCUCUGUUCGCGCGGUAAUUUCCUACGUGAUCUGA